GAUGAACGCUGGCGGCGUGCCUAACACGUGCCAGUCGAACGGAGAUUACGGACGGAAGUUUUCGGAUGGAAGACUGUAAUUCUUAGUGGCGGACGGGUGAGUAACGCGUGGGCAACCUGCCCUAUACAGGGGGAUAGCAGCUGGAAACGGCUGGUAAGACCGCAUAAGUCGGUUAAAUCGCAUGAUUUGAUCGGGAAAUGAGCAAUCAGGUAUAGGAUGGGCCCGCGUCCGAUUAGCCAGUUGGCAGGGUAAAAGCCUACCAAAGCGACGAUCGGUAGCCGGACUGAGAGGUCGGACGGCCACAUUGGGACUGAGACACGGCCCAAACUCCUACGGGAGGCAGCAGUGGGGGAUAUUGCACAAUGGAGGAAACUCUGAUGCAGCGACGCCGCGUGAGUGAAGAAGUAUUUCGGUAUGUAAAGCUCUAUCAGCAGGGAAGAUGAUGACGGUACCUGACUAAGAAGCCCCGGCUAACUACGUG
rnacentral:rRNA from 1 species